CCCCUAGAUGUUCUGGGCCGCACGCGCGCUACACUGAACAGUUCAACAAGUCUUAACCUUGGCCGAUAGGUCUGGGUAAUCUUUGAACGCUGUUCGUGAUUGGGAUAGACCUUUGCAAUUAUGGGUCUUCAACGAGGAAUUACUAGUAAACGCAAGUCAUCAGCUUGCAUUGAUUACGUCCCUGCCCUUUGUACACACCGCCCGUCGCACCUACCGAUUGAAUGGUCCGGUGAAAUCUCGGGACGGCGGCUUGGUCGCUUGCGUCCGACUGCUGAAACUUGAUUAAACCAUAUCAUUUAGAGGAAGGUGAANUCGUAACA
rnacentral:rRNA from 1 species